AAACUAACAAGGAUUCCCCUAGUAGCGGCGAGCGAAGCGGGAAGAGCUCAAAUUUGUAAUCUGGCGCUUUCAGCGUCCGAGUUGUAAUCUCUAGAAAUGUUUUCCGCGUUGCACCGCACACAAGUCUGUUGGAAUACAGCGGCACAGUGGUGAGACCCCCGUUCAUGGUGCGGAUGCGCAAUGCUUUGUGAUACAUUUUCGAAGAGUCGAGUUGUUUGGGAAUGCAGCUCAAAUUGGGUGGUAAAUUCCAUCUAAAGCUAAAUAUUGGCGAGAGACCGAUAGCGAACAAGUACCGUGAGGGAAAGAUGAAAAGCACUUUGGAAAGAGAGUUAACAGUACGUGAAAUUGUUGGAAGGGAAACGCUUGAAGUCAGACUUGCUGUUCGGAGUUCAGCCGCAAGGUGUACUCUCCGAGUUGCAGGCCAGCAUCAGUUUUUCGGGGUGGAAAAUCACGGUUUGAAGGUAGCAGUUUCGGCUGUGUUAUAGCUUUCCGUUGGAUACAUCCUGGGGGACUGAGGAACGCAGUGUGCUUUUAGCAGGGGUUUCGACCUCUUCACACUUAGGAUGCUGGUGGAAUGGCUUUAAACGAC
rnacentral:rRNA from 3 species